GAGAAAAACUUUGACAUAAUUUUCAAGUUUGAUAUGACCUAAUAACUACCACAUUUACAGGAAGUAUGGUAAUACAUUCUUGUCAGCUGUCUGGGCAAAUCUUCUCUCGCAGAAUUGGAUUAAAAUUUAAUGUAUUUUAUUUCUCACUUCCAACGAUGUCGCAAUUAUUAGGCAGCUAUCAAGUCUCAAGAUAUGACAUAAUUUGAUAGAAUGUUAGUACCAACGCUAUCAGUGCAUUGAAGUCGAGUUCUCGAUACAGGGAGCUGCUGGUAAACUACCGC